rnacentral:rRNA from 1 species
CCUACGGGGGGCAGCAGUGGGGAAUAUUGGACAAUGGGCGAAAGCCUGAUCCAGCGAUGCCGCGUGUGUGAAGAAGGCCUGCGGGUUGUAAAGCACUUUCAGUAGGGAAGCGUUACCUAAAGAAGAAGCACCGGCUAACUCCGUGCCAGCAGCCGCGGUAAUACGGAGGGUGCGAGCGUUAAUCGGAAUUACUGGGCGUAAAGGGCGCGUAGGCGGUGAAGUAAGUCGGGUGUGAAAGCCCCGGGCUCAACCUGGGAACUGCAUUCGAUACUGCUUCGCUAGAGUAUGGUAGAGGGAAGCGGAAUUCCGGGUGUAGCGGUGAAAUGCGUAGAUAUCCGGAGGAACACCAGUGGCGAAGGCGGCUUCCUGGACCAUCUGACGCUGAGGCGCGAAAGCGUGGGGAUCAAACAGGAUUAGAUACCCUUGUAGUC